rnacentral:rRNA from 1 species
CCUACGGGGUGCAGCAGUGGGGAAUUUUGCACAAUGGGGGAAACCCUGAUGCAGCGACGCCGCGUGAUUUAGAAGGCCUUCGGGUUGUAAAAAUCUUUUGUAUAGGAAGAAAAUGACAGUACUAUACGAAUAAGGUCCGGCUAAUUACGUGCCAGCAGCCGCGGUAAUACGUAAGGACCGAGCGUUGUCCGGAAUCAUUGGGCGUAAAGGGUACGUAGGCGGGCGCUUAAGUUAGAAGUGAAAGGCUAUAGCUCAACUAUAGUAAGCUUCUAAAACUGUGCGUCUUGAGAGAUGGAAGGGAAAGUGGAAUUCCUAGUGUAGCGGUGGAAUGCGCAGAUAUUAGGAGGAAUACCGGUGGCGAAGGCGACUUUCUGGCCAUUUUCUGACGCUGAGGUACGAAAGCGUGGGUAGCAAGCAGGAUUAGAUACCCGAGUAGUC